AAGCUUAAGAAGUUAUGAUAGGUUGAAUAAACUAUAAAGUGAGAAUGCAAUUCCAAACUUCCUGAUUCUAUUUGCCGUAUUUGUGCAUGCAUGCACAUACCCACACACACAAACAUAGACACACACUUACAUUCUUUUACGUCACCAGAAAACAUGGACUGAGGCAUAGAAGAUGAAAUGCACUGCAUAGGCCUGUUCUUUUGGCCCAUACUGUGCGAAUGUUUCGACACCCUUGUGUGCUAGACAAGCAUAGCAACUUAGCAAGAGAUGAAGCAUCAGAAAAUUCUUCCCUGUAUCAGUUGGGCUCCUAGGAAGCCUCUAGCCCCAUCCUCAAAACAGGAUAUUUUCAUCCUUAGAUAAAGUGAUUUGCUGUACCCCAAAUUUUCAGGGAUUGCAGGGUCUCAGGCUCUUGGACCUCUCACACCUCAUCAAUCAAGGUGCACUGAAGCAUAGGAUACCAAAGCAUUCAUACAUCCUUGAUAGAUUAGAUCCUGACACUCAGACAACUUUGAAGUUUUCCCUCGAGUAGGAGUUUACCAUGCCGAUUAGAUGAUCUAUAUGGCAAAUUAUAAGAUGGUUUGACACUUCCCUCAUCAGCUCACCAUAGGAAUGGGAUCUUCUUAUCUGCUGACUUCAUUUUUUCAGUGAUCCACUACUUUUCCUGAUGCUUUAAAGAUCAAAUCUAAACAGCAAUAUUUCAGGGAUUAAAUCAAUUAAUUUUGCAGGUUCGGCAGAACGGAAAUUAGUGAGGCAGCAAUUUAUUUUAAAACAGGCAACGUGAUAACAAAGAAAUGAAAUAGAUGUAGCGUUGGAGAAGCUUUGCGGUUAGUGAGAGUCCAUAGAUAUAAACUAUUAAUGUACAAGACCAACUGGAGGCAGCAGCAACUCAGUCAGGAAACUAAUGUACAACAGUGAAAACAGGUUCAAUGGGGAUUAAGAUUUGGCUUUCUUUUUAUUCAUAAUCAGGUUUUGUUUGUGUCCACAAAGUUCUACAGUAAAUUUUCCAGCAGUUUUCCGUGAGUCAGGUACUCUUGACUAGCUCGCACUCUUCUUCUGGUCAUGCAUCGAUCAUCUGUUUCAACAAUUAAAGUGGUGGAUUUUCUCCAUAGCUAAUUCCUAUCUACCAGGGUUGAGAAAACUGUCCUUUGUCAAAGAACAAUGCAUUGUACUAUAUUUUGAAGGCAAAACAGCAAUAAAUACCUGAAUGAGUGGGGAUUCUCUGGCCAAA